AUUGAACGCUGGCGGCAGGCCUAACACAUGCAAGUCGAACGAGUGGCGGACGGGUGAGUAAUGUCUGGGAAACUGCCUGAUGGAGGGGGAUAACUACUGGAAACGGUAGCUAAUACCGCAUACCAUCGGAUGUGCCCAUAUGGGAGUAGCUAGUAGGUGGGGUAAACGCUCACCUAGGCGAAGAUCCCUAGCUGGUCUGAGAGGAUGACCAGUCCCACGUGAACGGAGACGCGACACAGACCCCUAUGGGAGGCCUGGGAGGGGAAGAUUGCACAUGGGGAGCAAGCCUGAUGCAGCCAUGCCGCGUGUAUGAAGAAGGCCUUCGGGUUGUAAAGUACUUUCAGUGGGGAGGCGUUACCCUCAGAAGAAGCACCGGCUAACUCCGUGCCAGCAGCCGCGGUAAUAC
rnacentral:rRNA from 1 species